UACGAAGGGUGCAACCGUUGCUCGGAAUUAUUGGGCGUAAAGCGUGCGUAGGCGGCUUGGCAAAUCGGAUGUGAAAUCCCUCGGCUCAACCAAGGAAGUGCAUCCGAAACUGCCGAGCUUGAGUACUUAAGAGGAUCGCGGAAUUCCCGGUGUAGAGGUGAAAUUCGUAGAUAUCGGGAGGAACACCAGUGGCGAAGGCGGCGAUCUGGGAAGAUACUGACGCUGAGGUGCGAAAGCGUGGGGAGCAAACAGG
rnacentral:rRNA from 1 species